rnacentral:rRNA from 1 species
UCCCUNCGGGAGGCAGCAGUAGGGAAUAUUGGGCAAUGGACGAGAGUCUGACCCAGCCAUGCCGUGGUGCAGGAAGAAGGCGUUAUGCGUUGUAAACUGCUUUUAUAUGGGAAGAAAUGUCCCAUGGGUGGGUCAUUGCCGGUACCAGAGGAAUAAGCCCGGGUUAAUUCGGUGCCAGCAGCGGUGUUAAUACGGGGGGUGCAAGUUUUGUCCGGAUUUAUUGGGUUUAAAGGGUGCGUAGGCGGUUUAUUAAAUCAGUGGGAAAAGUUUGGGGUUCAACCCAGAAAUUCCCAUUGAUACUGGUCGACUUGAGUUUUGCAGGGGUACAUGGAAUUGAUGUUGUAGCGGUAAAAUGCAUAAUUUCCAUCAGGACCCCCGAUAGGGAAGGCAUUCUACUGGGCAACCAAUGACGUUGAUGCAAAAAAGCAUGGGGAACCAACAGGAUUAAAUACCCUGGUAGUCCCCCCCUUAAACGAUUAUUACUCGUUGUUAUGCUCUAGUAGGUAGUGUCCAAGCGAAAGCAUAAGUAUCCCUGACUCGUACUGUU